CAGCUCUUGACAUGUCUCGUAUGGGCCGGAGAGAUCCGGUUCUUCAGUUCGGCUGGCGGGAACACAGGUGCUGCAUGGCUGUCGUCAGCUCGUGUCGUGAGAUGUUGGGUUAAGUCCCGCAACGAGCGCAACCCUCAUCCUCAGUUGCCAUCAGGUUAAGCUGGGCACUCUGAGGAAACUGCCGGUGACAAGCCGGAGGAAGGCGGGGAUAACGUCAAGUCCUCAUGGCCUUUAUGGGCUGGGCUACACACGUGCUACAAUGGCGGUGACAGAGGGCGGCGAGGCAGCGAUGCCAAGCCAAUCUCAAAAAGCCGUCUCAGUUCGGAUUGCACUCUGCAACUCGGGUGCAUGAAGUCGGAAUCGCUAGUAAUCGCGGAUCAGCAUGCCGCGGUGAAUACGUUCCC
rnacentral:rRNA from 1 species